rnacentral:rRNA from 2 species
AGUAACGGCGAGUGAAGCGGCAACAGCUCAAAUUUGAAAUCUGGCGCAAGCCCGAGUUGUAAUUUGUAGAGGAUGCUUCUGGGUAGCGGCCGGUCUAAGUUCCUUGGAACAGGACGUCAUAGAGGGUGAGAAUCCCGUAUGUGACUGGCUUGCACCCUCCACGUAGCUCCUUCGACGAGUCGAGUUGUUUGGGAAUGCAGCUCUAAAUGGGAGGUAAAUUUCUUCUAAAGCUAAAUACCGGCCAGAGACCGAUAGCGCACAAGUAGAGUGAUCGAAAGAUGAAAAGCACUUUGGAAAGAGAGUUAAAAAGCACGUGAAAUUGUUGAAAGGGAAGCGCCCGCAACCAGACUUUGCGGCAGUGUUCGGCCGGUCUUCUGACCGGUUUACUCGCUGUCGUGAGGCCAUCAUCGUCUGGGACCGCUGGAUAAGACCUUAGGAAUGUAGCUCCCCUCGGGGAGUGUUAUAGCCUCUGGUGAUGCAGCGCGUCUCGGGCGAGGUCCGCGCUUCGGCAAGGAUGAUGGCGUAAUGGUUGUCGGCGGCCCGUCUUGAAACACGGACCAAGGAGUCUAACAUCUAUGCGAGUGUUCGGGUGUCAAACCCCUACGCGUAAUGAAAGUGAACGGAGGUGGGAACUUUUUGUGCACCAUCGACCGAUCCUGAUGUCCUCGGAUGGAUUUGAGUAAGAGCAUAGCUGUUGGGACCCGAAAGAUGGUGAACUAUGCCUGAAUAGGGUGAAGCCAGAGGAAACUCUGGUGGAGGCUCGCAGCGGUUCUGACGUGCAAAUCGAUCGUCAAAUUUGGGUAUA